AGGACUAACGCUGGCGGCGUGCCUGACACAUGCAAGUCGAACGAGGGUAGCAAUACCCUAGUGGCAGACGGGUGAGUAACGCGUGGUCAACCUGCCUCUUAGUGGGGGAUAACUAGCCGAAAGGUUAGCUAAUACCGCAUACGAUCGUCGAGUGGCAUCACUUGACGAUGAAAGGAGUAAUCCGCUAAGAGAGGGGACUGCGUCCCAUUAGUUAGUUGGUGGGGUAACGGCCUACCAAGACAUCGAUGGGUAGCUGGCUUGAGAGAGCGAUCAGCCACACUGGAACUGAGAAACGGUCCAGACUCCUACGGGAGGCAGCAGUGAGGAAUUUUCCGCAAUGGGCGAAAGCCUGACGGAGCGACGCCGCGUGUGGGAAGAAGGCCUUCGGGUCGUAAACCACUGUCGAGGGGGACGAUAUUGACGGUACCCCUGGAGGAAGCCCCGGCUAACUACGUGCCAGCAGCCGC
rnacentral:rRNA from 1 species